GAUCAAACACCUUUAACCGUUUUAGUUGUCUUGAUAAAGUCGCAGCAGAAAAAGGUAAAAUAAAUACAGAGACUCAAGCGUAUAAAAUAAGCGUCAAUUGGCAUGACAACUGCAGUUUCCCACCGCAGUAAAAUCUUUGACGAACGUUGUAUUUUGUGUUCGGUUGUAAAAAUGGCUAAAAUGGUGUUGGCUUUUGUUAUUUUAUCGCUGUUUGCAUACGAGUUUUCGAAUGGAGUUUUCAUAACGUUGCCACUUUUGCGAUCAAAAUGUCAAUAUACCAAUUUCCAGUACACGGUCCAACCAUUGGUGUGUCAACUGCUGAACAUCACCCGCAACACGACAACGCAUUGGUAGAACAUUCAGACAACGAUUGGCAAAAUAGUGAAAUGGUGAUGAUGUCACAUGGUAGAUCGAUCAAUUGAUAGCAUUAUAGUUCCAACAAAGUUAAUAAACAGUAAAAAAAAGUAGAUACAGUCGAGUUUACUGUUCGCUAUAAGAA